CUAUAAUAUAUCUUUAAAAAAGUUCGUGUCUUUAUUAUAUAUGAAAACCUAUCUCGAUGGAUUGGAGAUAAGAGAUUUCCACAAUCUAUAGAAUAAAUCAAAAGCUGUUUCUGGAUGAAAUUGUGUGCAUGAUUCUUGAAUCAACCUUUCUGAUCACACUCUUUUGAUCCAUGGAAUCUCCACUUUUUUGAUACAUAUAAAUAUGCUCUUUACAAUUAUUUAUUAUGAAAAAGUGCUCUUCAAAACCUCUGCAAGUUCCUCACUUUUUAAAGCCAGUCUCUUGUAAAACAAGUGCGCUGUUGUUCUUGGUGUAGUAUUUGUAAUUUCUGUAUUUUGGCUGCAAAUUUUAAGCCUAUCUGCAGUUCCUACUAACUGUCAUUUUAUAGUGAUCUCUUAUGCAUAUUUUCAAUUAAAAAAAAUAGAGACGAGAUGAGGGAGAGCAGAAUGAGAUUGGCACGUUAUAUCUUGUUAGUGUUGAUGACAGUUACGGUGAAGGUGAAGGGAGAUCCAACUUGUAGCCCUGCUGGAAACUUCUGGUGCAACAGUGGACGGUGCUGCAGCAUAUAUAACUGGUGUGGAAGUACAUCAGACUAUUGCGCAUCUGGAAAUUGCCUUGCUCAGUGCUGGCCUAACGCCGUUGCACUUAGUCAGUCUAGUUUGGAGGUAUCCCGACAGAACCUCACCUCUGCCUCUCCAUAGCAACCCAUGAGUGUUACUUGGGUGCUUGCAGGGGAUUUAAAUGUUAGAAAUCAGAAUAAUAGUUUAUUAAAUGUUGAUCAUCAUGCGGUUGCAGUGAUGUGUUUUAUUAUAUUAUACAGACAGAAAGUUUUUCUUUACACAGUCAA